GUCUCUUAUGUCUCCUGCAUUGGUGUGCAGAUUCUUUACCCAUGAAUCCCAUGAACAGAGGAGCCUGGUAGGGUACAGUCCAUGGGGUCACAAAGAGUCAGACACGACUAAGGGACUAAGCACGCUCGCACAUAGUGAUUUUAACCAACAAUACUGUAUUAUAUGCUUCAAAAUUGCCAAGAGACUAGGUCUGAACCCUUAUCACCACAAAAAAAGAAGACUAGGGGAAGGAAUAGAGGUGUUAGCUAUCACUAUGGUAGUAAUCAUACUGUAAUAUAUAAAGGUAUCAAACCAGCAUGUUGUACACCUUAAACUUACACAAUGCUCUAUGCUGUUAUGUCUCAAUUUUCUAAAAAUAAAAGAAAAAUUUAAAAAACAAAAAAUAGGAACUUCCCUGGUGGUCCAGUGGUUAAAACUCCAUGCUUCCACUGCAAGAGGCACAGGUUCGAUCCCUGGUCAGGGAACAGUCAUUCCAAAUGCCACAUGGCAGCCAAAAAAAUUAAAAACAGAAAAUAAAAUAGAAACAUUCUUUUAAAAAGUGUUACUGUGAUUUGAAAGAAGUCAUGCUCAGAGCAUGAUACCCCACCAGUCCUGAACCCCAGCCCCAAGCUCUCCAAACAGAGUAGGAAGGCGCUAGUUGGAACCAGUUCAGACUUUUCCAAUGCCAAGGUAACACCCCACAAUUUCAGAGUUCAAUAUUUGCCUUCCUCUGGAAGAAAGGCAAGGCACUGUUUGUGGUUGUGGUGCCUGCUGACUCACCUGGAACAUACUCCAUGAGGGACACUCAGGGUUUCUGGCUGCAGACUCCCAGCACUUCAGAUGCGGAAGGGCCAGACCCAUAAGAUGGUUAGCCACCAAAAUGCCACUGCAUCGCAGAAGACAGAGUUGAUGGUGUCCGCCUUGUUUCCCUCGUUCCCUGUCACUAUUCAUCACUGGCCAUUGGUAGAUUGCCUCCUAAGGUAAGCAGUGUGCCAGGCACCAAAGGUACAAAGAUACAGGAGACAUAGCCACUGGCUUCAAAGAAUUUACAGAGAUGUGAAAGUGAAAGUGAAAGUCGCUCAGUCGUGUCUGACUCUUUGUGACCCCAUGGACUGCGUGGAAUUCUCCAGGCCAGAAUACUGGAGUGGGUAGCCUUUCCCUUCUCCAGGGGAUCUUCCCGAUCCAGGCAGUCGGAUUCUUUACCAACUGAGCUACCAAGGAAGUCCUUUUACAGAGACAUAAGCAAGUAUACAUUUUGAUGUGAUGUAAUACAUCUAAUAAUAAUACAUGAGUAUAGAACAAAAGUGAGCUUCCCAGGUGGCUUAGUGGUAAAGAACCUGUCUGCCAAUGCAGGAGACUCAAGAGACAAGGAUUCGAUCCUUGGGUCGGGAAGGUCCCCUAGAGAAGGAAAUGGCAACUCACUCCAGUAUUCUUGCCUGGAAAAUCCCAUGGACAAUGGAGCCUGGAGGGCUACAGUCCACGGGGUUGCAAAGAGUUGGACACGACUGACGUGUAAACAAGAUUCUGAGGAGAGAGGAAUAAACUUUGGGGAAGUGAGAGAAAGGAAGAAUCAACUCUGGGGAAAUGAGAGAAGGCUUUCUGGAGGAUCUAAAACCUGAGCAACUCUGAAGCAAUAAUGAUGUGAAGGAAGGCUGCACACGGAGGCCAGGGUUUAGGGCUUCAGAACCUAAGGAACCAGGAAGGAGUCGUCACCCAAUCUACUCAACUGGAUAUACAUGUUAUUGGAGGAUGAGGUAUUCAAGUAGGAUCCAUGCAUUAUCUCUGACUAUCUGGGGAAAGCUAUAUUCAAAAAGAAACAGUUUUCACCAUCUAAAGCCAGAACAGAAAAUAGCCCUUGCCUUCUAUUAACAUGGCCAACAUCAUUUAACAAAUUUAUUUUUUAUCUGAGUGAUAAAAAACAGAAAAUUGAAUCCAUGAGCCCAGUAUUUCCUCUGGGCUAUUAUCCAUUCAUUCAGCAAACACUCACUCUAUGCCAAACAGGCCAUGAGGCCAGGGUGCCCUGAACCACACCAGUAACCACAGGGCUGAAACCACCUUUUACAUGAUGGCUAGCUCCUGUCUCAGAUGACAAUGGACCAAAGUCUGCCAGAUUCACUGAACACAGAUAUCUUAAUAAUUCCUUUCUAGCCCACAAGGACUGUGGGGUGGCAGGGUGGCACCUACAGUAUCUAUCCCAGGCUAAAGAUUCUGAGUGUUUAAAAGAAACCUUUAGAUAUUCCUUUAGCCUCAAAGACCCAACAACAUUACUAGAUGGCUAAGACAAACACCCAUUAAGCCAAAAACCAUACAAGGCCGUAAAUGAAUUAGUUCUCAAAUAAUUGACAUGGACAGUAAAUCAAAAACAAGAGAAGGCAAAGAUUACUGAUGUGCCCUGAGCAGGAGAAGAGGGGUUUAUGAUCUUGUGCUGAAAUCUAAAAGAUAAGGCGGAGUGUUGGCUGGUUCAGAAAUUGCCUAGAAGUGAAACUGGACUGACACAUGGGAGACGUUAAGUCACUGAGUAGGAAGAAGGGCCUAAAAGUAGUAGUGUGUUGACUAGAGAGAAAAUGAAAAGGCUUGAAAUGCCAAGAUAAAGAAUUUGAACUUGAUUACUAAGGAAAGAGAAUCGCUGGAGAACUGUAAGAAAAAUGUGGAUAAAAUAGUGUUUCAGGAAAUUAACUCACGUCCAUAUGUUAGGAGGAACAGUCCCAAUGAUCCCAAAAGAAAUAUAGUCAGGCAGCAUACGAUGAUGGCAGUAGAAAUGAAGAUAUAAAUCCAGAGAUGACAUGGAGAAGAGGAGAUAAAGCAUGCUGGUACUAAAGACCAGGCCUUCCAGGGAUUGGUCUGGUCAUCUGAAACACCAGAGGUGAAGUCAUUGGUGAGGAAAGUGGACAGUGAUGGGGGAAAGAUGGUGAACUCAGUUGGGACACAUUGUUUGCAGAAUAGUCCAAGUGGAAAUAUCCAGUGCAAAGCUGGAAAUAAGGGCCUGGAGUGCAGGGGAAAGAAGCCUGUCUUGGACGCUCCACUUGGGAAUCACAUCCAUCCACGAGCCACAUGGCCAGGACAGGUAUCACAAAAUCAACUACUUUGUUCAGAUGCUCCUAGCGUGUCAAUUUGUAAUAUUCUUCAUUUAGCAAAGCAUAAGAUGGUGGAUGAUAAAGCCCACGAGGAAGGAAGUUUCACCAGCAAUUUUGUUUCCUCUGUGAGAAACUAUUUAGACACCUCAGUUCAGAUACUUGCCCCCUAUUCCUCCCUCCCCUCAAGGAUUCUAUUUGGUACAAACGUGGCUUCUUGUGUCAGAGCCCAGAGGGUUUGCUAACUCACCUGAAAACAGCACAGAGAAAUGGUAAUUUUCUACUGCAGCAUUUCCUUGAGUAAAACCCUAACCCACCAGGAGUAUUUCUGGCGUAAAGUGGCGUCUUUGGAUUUCUGGAGACAGUAAAAUAUAGAGGGAAGUAGGAGCAAGUCAAGUUUCUUUUGACUGAAGUUUCCCUCUGAGUCACUGAGCUAGAAUGACUUGUUUGUUAAAUAACAUUAAAUUCAACCUCCUACCCAGAAGCAGGCACAGGCGAUCUCUUAUGACUUCAUUAGUAAACAAAAUGAGGGGUUAUGUCCUCUGAUUACCAGUCUACCCUCAGAGUUUCAGAAGCUCUGAAAGACUCACCGUGAUCCCCAUUGAACUACAUAUAUGGGAAAAUAGAGUGUUUCCAUCCUUAAAAUCUUUUGUGUGUUCCCAAACUGAGAUCUCAGGGUUAACACACAAGAUCAAGAUCUUGUUUUCUUUCUAACUAGCAAACUAAAUUGCCUUGGGGCACCUGGGUGGUUUAUUACUGAUAAGUAACCUUAGGAGAGAGGGCAGUGAAACCCAUGCCUGAGAAAAGUGGCAGCAAUUACAAAGGAAAGUCCCAAGGGAAGGUGGCCAGUGUCACUGAGCCUAACAACGGCCACCACAACAACAUUAACCUGGGAGGUGCUUAAUCCCUGGCCCAGAAAGCAGGCGGCUGGCACCGGAGCCAUCUCAUGCAAGGCUCCCCAAGGCUGCAGUCUCCCCAAGCUCGAGAAGCACAGGAGGGCUGCUGUGAGCAUAGAAAUAAGAGGUCUUCACACCCUUGCAGGCUGCUUCUUUGUAGGGUCUACUGUGGCUGCCCGCCAGAGCCCCAUGCACACUGAACCACGGUCAACAGAAGAGACUGAUGGAAAGACAAUGAACUUUCAAGUCAGACCUGAGUUUAAAUCUUACAUCUUUUGUGAGCCUGGGAGAGGUAUCCAAACUACUUAAUGUCCACACAGGUGGAAGGACAUUGUAACACCAGCUUCACUGGGACGAGGUGAGAGGUACAUGAAAUCACUGUGUCUGGCAGUCCAUCUGGCUCCUAGUAGGUCCACUGUAAAUGUAGUCAGACUUUGGAUCUAUCUACUGCCUCUGCUGAGUGCACCCCUAUACCCGGGCACCUCCUCUCCUAGGAGACAUCUACAUUUGUCCCUGGGGACCACAGAGGAUUGGUUUCAGGAGCCCCAUGCAUGUGGAUACCAAAAUCAGCGAAUGCUCAAAUCCCUUACAAUAUCCACCCUCCUUAUCCAUGAGUGCAGAACCCAUGGAUGUGGAACCCAAGGAUAUGGAACCCACAGAUAGGGAGAGGGGGUCUGUAUUCACUGCUCAAGCCCUCAUGCAGUAUUAUGACCUUUAUGAAGACUAUUUUGGCCCUCCUAAGAAGCUAAUUAUUCCUACUUCUGUACUCCCACCAUAUCUUCAAGAAAGUAUCCAUCACACUGUAACUGCAAACACCUCGAACCUGAAUCUCCAGAUAGUAUAUCCUCAAAACAAGCUGAAGUGAUCUGGUGCAGCAAGCCUGGCCCUUCCAUGGGUAUCUGGAAACCACUAACGUAGGUCAAUUAUGCCAUACACAUAUCAAAUGAUAAUAUCAUCAACAAUAAUAAUAGCUAAGAUGUGUGGAACCUUUAGGUUCUAGAUACUGCUUUAUAUGCUUUGCACAGGUUGACUCAUUUAAUCCCCACAAGAUCCCUAUGAAGUAGGUUGACUUAUUUAAUCCCCACAAGAUCCCUAUGAAGUAGACACUACUAUUUAAAAUGAGGAAAAAGUGAAAAUGAAAGUGUUAGACACUCAGUUGUGUCCAACUCUUUGCAAUCCCAUGGACUGUAGCCCACCAGGCUCCUCUGUCCACGGAAUUCUUCAGGCAAGCAUAGUGAAGUGGGUAGCCAUUCCCUUCUCCAGGGGAUUUUCCCAACCUGGGUCUCCUGCAUUGCAAGCAGAUUCUUUACCAUCUGAGCUACCAGGAAACUGAAGCUCAAAGAGGGGAAACAACUCUCCCAGGAAAUAACUUGUUAGCCAAAAAUCAAACCUCAAAAAUACAGUGCCAGAGCACAAGUUCUUUAUCGUACUGGGCUAUAAUUCUUCUUUAUAUAUAUAUGAAUUUUAAUAUUCAAAGGCAGUCGUGUAUGCCAUAUAGUACCUUUAAGUGCCAAUUACAAUAUUAAAUAUUUUUCUUGCAUUAUAAUCGUUAUUUUCUUUUUUAUAGUACAUUUAAACAAUUCCCUUUUUGUUAUGAAACUGCUUCAGUAUCAUUGAACAAAUGUUUCUAUAACUUAACUGGAAAUUUGUAUUUAUACACCUAAAUACUAGGCUUUGCAACUAUUCAACUGUUUUUCAAUAUUCCUACGUUCUGUCAGAUGGUGCUGAGUGACAAAUUGCUCAGUCCAUCACCUGACCUUGUGUGCUUCGAUAAGAAAGAGAAGGGUGUGGUGCUGACAGCUGAGGACACUUGUCAACUGUCCCCAAGAAGGAAAUGGAAUCACUAUUGUGACAAAUUUAAGUCAGAUUUGAGGCUGCCACCGGUUGCUUUAAUUAUUCUCAAGGGGGAGUUGGUUAUUUCCUGUCAUGCAAACUGCAUCAUUGAAAGAUAGUUUCUGAAAAUGUUUAUAAUACCCUAAGUAAAAAGAAGCAGGAUGCAAAUUGCAUAUCUUAUAAGAAGGUCUCAGUUGUGUUUUUAAAAACACACCAGAAUUUUAACAGGGAUUAUUUCUAGAUGCUUAUUAUUUUCCUUUUUCUGUUGUUAUGUCACAAGCAUGUAUUCCUUUCAUAUUCAGGGCAAAAAAAAUUAUUAAAAAGAAAAAAAACUCAAUGUUGACCAGAAAUAGAGCAUGUACCUUUUUUUCUAAAUAAAGUACUAUCAGGAUGCAGAUAAUGAAGUGGCUCCCAUGGUCUAGAAAACAUUAUUUGCUAGGCUUCCUUGGAAAUCUGAUUGGAAGUUAUGAGAUUGGGAGAUUAUGGAAGCCAUGUGUGGUACUUCGCAAUGAUGGCUUGUCCUUUAAAAAUGAAGUUUAUUCCAAAGAACAUGAAACCAAACUUCCAAUUCACAUUUAAACAGCAUUUUGCAUAUAUAAGCUUUUAAAUGAAGGCACUCGAGAUCUUUCAGCCCCAUUUCUCAGUUUUACAAGCAAAAAACCAGCAGACAAAAAAGAGAGGCCCAGUGACUCACUCCAUGAUAAUCAAAGAGUUAAGAUUCAGGAUUCAGGCCUUUUGACAUUGUUUUUCCAUGCAGUCACACAACCGUUCCUUAUUUAAACAUUCCCUUAAAGAUAUAGAACAAAUUUAACCACUUGCGAUGAGACAAAAAAUUAAAGCUUCCCCCUGAAGGUGGUGGGACCUAGCUGCCUUGGUUUGGAUUCUAGCAGUAGCAACUGCCCAGACCUCUCUGUUCUCCAACUUCCUGGGCUGGAAAAGGAUUGAAGAGUGCAGACCUCAUAGGGUUAUUGUGAAAGAUAAUGAGUAAAUGUGUAUAAAGCACUCACACAGUACCCACCACAGUACAGACCCUCAAUAAAAGUAGGCUUUUAUUAUUGCUGUUAUUCAUAUUCCUAUUUCUCUGUGACCACAUGUAGAAAUGCUUGAGAAGAAUCUGUAAUACAUAAACACAUUUGACUUAUAUUGAAGAGAGUGAUUUAUUAACCGUUCACAGUUUUUCAUUCUUUUACAUAUUUGUUUUUUUUUCAAGUUGCAAUUUAUUUAAUUUCUAAUAAUUUUUAAAAAAUUCUGGAGACCACUUUAGGGGGGUGGCUGUGCUAGGCAGCAUUCACUUUUUCAUUCUUUCAGCAAAUAUUUAUUGAGCUCCCCAGCAAUGUCAGACCCAUCUGUUUCCCAAGUAUUGUUGUAAAUAAAGUGGUAGAGAGAAAAUGGUAGCUGGAAACAUGGGGUUGGACGUUCCUUUUGUUUUGUUUUUGCUAGACAUUUAAGCAUGAUGAAAUUAUGGUGAGAAUGAUCUGGUUGAGAAAGAACAAUGGAAUAUAUGAGAGAAAGUUCCUAACUGGGAGUUGUUGGAGAGGGGGAGUUUUCCCCUCUAUCCCUCUUGACUUCUUGUGGCUGGACUAAUAAUAACAUGGACAUAAGACAGAUGAACAGGAGAAAAAGAAACAAAUUUUAGUUCAUGGGCUUGCCAGACAAUUAGAAAUGGAACCAACGAAGUGGCCAAAGAAGGCUACUUUUAUACUUUUUAUACAAAAUAUGUCUGUGAGGAAUUGAUAGGGUGAAGAAAGCUAGGUUUGAGGUGCCCAGUUAGGUGAAGAAUCUGAACAGAGUUUGGGCUUGUAAACUAAGGAAGGACCAAGGUUUACUCAUGCAGGUUUCUCGGCCCAAAUUCCCGUCUCCAGUGAUAAGUGUGCCUUUCUACCUCCAGAUACAGGGAGCACCGCUUUCCCGUGAAAGAUUGGUUUCCCGCUUUCAUGGACACAGAGAGGAAAAUCAGAGCAUCUCUCUUACAUUGGCCGUUUCCUAAGUAACUUUAAUUCGAAAUAAGCAAUAUGCCACUGAGGCACAUUUGGGGGCGACCUGCCCAGGGCCCCAACAGAGCAAAAUGUCCUAGAAAGGUAAUAGAGGGAUUUAGAAAAAGAGGCAGCUUGUCUAAUAGAACAGAGAGAGAAUGAAACAAAGAAUGGCUGCAGAGUCGGAAGUUUUAUAGGUUUUAUAGCAAAAUAGUAAGGAAUUUCCCACCAAGUGACUUUCAGUCUCUCCAUGAAGUAGGAAGCAAGGUGGAGGGUGGUAGAGACAGGUCACUAGAAGACCCUUAACAGCCAUGCAUUUAUGGCCCAGAGAGAUAAUUCUGUGUGCCACCUGGCCACCUGCCCUCAGCAACUGUGGUCCCAAAGCUGUGAUGCCACCAAAAGGGAAAUUAAUCCCAGCGACCACAUGUUCGCCUGGCCCUACCUUGGACAGCUUAGUCUAUGUCAUUGCUUCCCUUUUUCUCAUGGUGUGGAUUCUUAUGGAUAAGCUUGCCCCCAUUCCUGCCCCACCCCCGACUCUCCCAUAUCUCUACACAGUGCAAAACUGAAAACAAAGAAAAUUAUAAUCUCCUGUCAAAGACUCCUCUCCCUUGCUUGGGUUUAUUUGUGCUCUGUGAGUAAUACAAUCUGGAAGGAAAAUCCAGCCGUGAAAACAAGUUUUACUUCUGUUUUGUGCACCCAGCCCACAACCACCCACAGGAACCAAUGCAUCACAGGAGGACAGCAGUGGCCACAGUUAGUUUGCUUCUAGGCAGGGGCUGGAAGGUGUUCCCUCCUGGCUCUUUUUCCCCCAAUGGCUGUGGAUCCUAAGGCAAUGUGAAGAUUUCUAGCACCUUCUCUCUCAAGAGUCACCAAGAAGUAGUCAAGUAAACGAACUUAACCUUAGCAUAGAUUGCAACCCCUAGUACCCCCUUUCCCUCUCUUGCCUACCACUUUUUGACAAUCUUUGCCAAGUGAAAAAAUAAAGUCCCCCAUCUCCUGUCUUCUUCUUUUCUCAUUCUUUCAUUUUGUGUCUUACUCGAUUUGCUUUAUUUUCUAUUUUGGAGAUAAUUCUUGGUAAACACCAGGAAGCAAAAAGUCCACCCAAAAAACCUUCUCCUUGGAAGACCUGGAGUAAGUCUCUUUAAAAAAAAAAAAGAAAAGAAAAGAUAAACUAGAUUAAGCAUGUAUUGAGAAUAUAAAGAG